rnacentral:rRNA from 1 species
GACGAACGCUGGCGGCGUGCUUAACACAUGCAAGUCGAACGGAAAGGCCCUGCUUUUGUGGGGUGCUCGAGUGGCGAACGGGUGAGUAACACGUGAGUAACCUGCCCUUGACUUUGGGAUAACUUCAGGAAACUGGGGCUAAUACCGGAUAGGAGCUCCUGCUGCAUGGUGGGGGUUGGAAAGUUUCGGCGGUUGGGGAUGGACUCGCGGCUUAUCAGCUUGUUGGUGGGGUAGUGGCUUACCAAGGUUUUGACGGGUAGCCGGCCUGAGAGGGUGACCGGCCACAUUGGGACUGAGAUACGGCCCAGACUCCUCCGGGAGGCAGCAGUGGGGAAUAUUGCACAAUGGGCGGAAGCCUGAUGCAGCAACGCCGCGUGCGGGAUGACGGCCUUCGGGUUGUAAACCGCUUUCGCCUGUGACGAAGCGUGAGUGACGGUAAUGGGUAAAGAAGCACCGGCUAACUACGUG